AUAACAACAGCUUCUGGUUCAGUUUCUGUGUAAUUAGUGUUAAGGCCGAGAUGGCACAUCUCUUAGCCGCCCUGGACAAAUGACUCAUUUGACACAGGUAACACUGUUAUGCAGCAAUUGUUCUUUCUUGAAGCUGAAAGUUUUAAUAAACACUUUUUUCUCAGACUUACAGUACAUAUAUUUUUGGUAGAUUUUUUAUAAUUUGAUAAUUGAAAAGGACAUUGGUUUUCCAAUUAGUUGUAUGAUUUGUAAGGGAGAAUAACAACAGCUUCGGUUCAGUUUCUGUGUAAUUAGUGUUAAGGCCGAGAUGGCACAUCUCUUAGCCGCCAUUAAGGUGGCAUUGGCAAAACGUUGCUUUAUCGCCAUGGAUUAUCCCAGGGCUUAUGAGAGCGACCAAGCACAUAAGCCCUGGGUACGAGGUUGAUUAUCUCAGGGUUUACGAGAGCGACCAAGCACAUAAACCGUAGGUACGGGGUUGAUUAUCUCAGGGCUUACGAGAGCGACCAAGCACAUAAGCCCUGGGUAAGAGGUUGAUUAUCUCAGGGCUUACGA